rnacentral:sRNA from 12 species
GACCUAAACCAAGCGAGAGUUCGCAAGGCAUGGCCCAAAGACAGGUAGUGCAUAGAGAACCCUCACGGGGUUGCAUUACCUGCCAUAUCGAGAAAUCGGUAUGUCCGCUUCGGCGGA